AGGUCAUUUUGUGGGCAAUUCCUUAGUAGACCUUUGUAGCGCUCCCAUGCUUCGAAUAAAGACUCUCCCACUUGUUGCUCAAAAUUGGCAAUGGCCUUCUUGAGUUU